AGGAGAAGAAUUCGUAAGCAAAUACAAAGGAAACUACACAUUCACAGGGGGAAAAGCGGUAGGUUACAGAAACCUGUUUGGGGUACCGUGGACUUCAUUCAUGGCCGAGGAUAGUCUGCAUUUCAUCAAUGGGAUUCUCCAUCUCAGAGCUGAGCUCACUAUUAAACGUUCCACAGACCUUCACUGACUGUUCUUUCUCUAAAUCUCUUUCUAUCAAUCUCCAUCUAUAUAUAUAUAAAAGUUGUAUUAUCUCGUCAUGUAGCAGCUCUAACAACCACGAGUGUCUUUUAUAAUUUGCUUUGAGCAGAAAAAGUAAGGUUUAAGG
rnacentral:lncRNA from 1 species